rnacentral:rRNA from 1 species
UACGUAGGGGGCAAGCGUUGUCCGGAUUUAUUGGGCGUAAAGAGCGUGUAGGCGGGCUGACAAGUCUGCUGUGAAAACUCGAGGCUCAACCUCGAGAUGUCGGCGGAAACUGUCUGGCUAGAGUCCGGAAGAGGAGAGUGGAAUUCCUGGUGUAGCGGUGAAAUGCGCAGAUAUCAGGAAGAACACCUAUGGCGAAGGCAGCUCUCUGGGACGGUACUGACGCUGAGACGCGAAAGCGUGGGGAGCGAACAGG